rnacentral:rRNA from 1 species
UUAAGCGACUAAGCGUACACGGUGGAUGCCUAGGCAGUCAGAGGCGAUGAAGGGCGUGCUAAUCUGCGAUAAGCGUCGGUAAGCUGAUAUGAAGCGUUAUACCCGACGAUACCCGAAUGGGGAAACCCAGUGUGUUUCGACACACUAUCAUGGCAUGAAUACAUAGUGUCAUGAGGCGAACCGGGGGAACUGAAACAUCUCAGUACCCCGAGGAAAAGAAAUCAACCGAGAUUCCCCCAGUAGCGGCGAGCGAACGGGGAGGAGCCCAGAACCUGAAUCAGUUUGUGUGUUAGUGGAAGCGUCUGGAAAGUCGCACAGUAAAGGGUGAUAGUCCCGUACACAAAAAUGCACAAGUUGUGAGUUCGAUGAGUAGGGCGGGACACGUGACAUCCUGUCUGAAUAUGGGGGGACCAUCCUCCAAGGCUAAAUACUCCUGACUGACCGAUAGUGAACCAGUACCGUGAGGGAAAGGCGAAAAGAACCCCGGCGAGGGGAGUGAAAUAGAACCUGAAACCGUGUACGUACAAGCAGUGGGAGCCUACUUGUUAGGUGACUGCGUACCUUUUGUAUAAUGGGUCAGCGACUUAUAUUCUGUAGCAAGGUUAACCGUAUAGGGGAGCCGCAGGGAAACCGAGUCUUAACUGGGCGUUAAGUUGCAGGGUAUAGACCCGAAACCCGGUGAUCUAGCCAUGGGCAGGUUGAAGGUUGGGUAACACUAACUGGAGGACCGAACCGACUAAUGUUGAAAAAUUAGCGGAUGACUUGUGGCUGGGGGUGAAAGGCCAAUCAAACCGGGAGAUAGCUGGUUCUCCCCGAAAGCUAUUUAGGUAGCGCCUCGUGAAUUCAUCUUCGGGGGUAGAGCACUGUUUCGGCUAGGGGGUCAUCCCGACUUACCAACCCGAUGCAAACUACGAAUACCGAAGAAUGUUAUCACGGGAGACACACGGCGGGUGCUAACGUUCGUCGUGAAGAGGGAAACAACCCAGACCGCCAGCUAAGGUCCCAAAGUCAUGGUUAAGUGGGAAACGAUGUGGGAAGGCAUAGACAGCCAGGAUGUUGGCUUAGAAGCAGCCAUCAUUUAAAGAAAGCGUAAUAGCUCACUGGUCGAGUCGGCCUGCGCGGAAGAUGUAACGGGGCUAAACCAUGCACCGAAGCUGCGGCAGCGACACUUAGGUGUUGUUGGGUAGGGGAGCGUUCUGUAAGCCUGCGAAGGUGGCCUGUGAGGGCUGCUGGAGGUAUCAGAAGUGCGAAUGCUGACAUAAGUAACGAUAAUGCGGGUGAAAAACCCGCACGCCGGAAGACCAAGGGUUCCUGUCCAACGUUAAUCGGGGCAGGGUGAGUCGACCCCUAAGGCGAGGCUGAAAAGCGUAGUCGAUGGGAAACAGGUUAAUAUUCCUGUACUCGGUGUUACUGCGAAGGGGGGACGGAGAAAGCUAGGUUAUCCGGGCGACGGUUGUCCCGGUUUAAGCGUGAAGGUGGAUGACUUUGGUAAAUCCGGGUCAUCGUUAACACUGAGGCGUGAUGACGAGUCACUACGGUGAUGAAGUAACCGAUGCUACGCUUCCAGGAAAAGCCUCUAAGCUCCAGGUAACAUCAAAUCGUACCCCAAACCGACACAGGUGGUCAGGUAGAGAAUACUCAGGCGCUUGAGAGAACUCGGGUGAAGGAACUAGGCAAAAUGGUGCCGUAACUUCGGGAGAAGGCACGCUGAUGGUAGGUGAAGUGACUUGCUCAUGGAGCUGAAAUCAGUCGAAGAUACCAGCUGGCUGCAACUGUUUAAUAAAAACACAGCACUGUGCAAACACGAAAGUGGACGUAUACGGUGUGACGCCUGCCCGGUGCCGGAAGGUUAAUUGAUGGGGUCAGCCGCAAGGCGAAGCUCUUGAUCGAAGCCCCGGUAAACGGCGGCCGUAACUAUAACGGUCCUAAGGUAGCGAAAUUCCUUGUCGGGUAAGUUCCGACCUGCACGAAUGGCGUAAUGAUGGCCAGGCUGUCUCCACCCGAGACUCAGUGAAAUUGAACUCGCUGUGAAGAUGCAGUGUACCCGCGGCAAGACGGAAAGACCCCGUGAACCUUUACUAUAGCUUGACACUGAACCUUGAGCCUUGAUGUGUAGGAUAGGUGGGAGGCUUUGAAGCGUGGACGCCAGUCUGCGUGGAGCCAACCUUGAAAUACCACCCUUUAAUGUUUGAUGUUCUAACGUGGACCCGUGAUCCGGGUUGCGGACAGUGUCUGGUGGGUAGUUUGACUGGGGCGGUCUCCUCCCAAAGCGUAACGGAGGAGCACGAAGGUUAGCUAAUCCUGGUCGGACAUCAGGAGGUUAGUGCAAAGGCAUAAGCUAGCUUGACUGCGAGAGUGACAGCUCGAGCAGGUGCGAAAGCAGGUCUUAGUGAUCCGGUGGUUCUGAAUGGAAGGGCCAUCGCUCAACGGAUAAAAGGUACUCCGGGGAUAACAGGCUGAUACCGCCCAAGAGUUCAUAUCGACGGCGGUGUUUGGCACCUCGAUGUCGGCUCAUCACAUCCUGGGGCUGAAGUAGGUCCCAAGGGUAUGGCUGUUCGCCAUUUAAAGUGGUACGCGAGCUGGGUUUAGAACGUCGUGAGACAGUUCGGUCCCUAUCUGCCGUGGGCGUUGGAAGAUUGAGAGGGGUUGCUCCUAGUACGAGAGGACCGGAGUGAACGCACCACUGGUGUACGGGUUGUGAUGCCAAUUGCAUUGCCCGGUAGCUAAGUGCGGAAGAGAUAACCGCUGAAAGCAUCUAAGCGGGAAACUUGCCUCGAGAUGAGUCUUCCCUGGGCACUUGAUGCCCCUGAAGGGCCGUUGAAGACGACGACGUAGAUAGGCUGGGUGUGUAAGCGUAGCGAUACGUUGAGCUAACCAGUACUAAUGACCCGAGAGGCUUAACCU